AGUGAACGCUGGCGGUAGGCCUAACACAUGCAAGUCGAACGGCAGCACAGUAAGAGCUUGCUCUUACGGGUGGCGAGUGGCGGACGGGUGAGGAAUACAUCGGAAUCUACUUUUUCGUGGGGGAUAACGUAGGGAAACUUACGCUAAUACCGCAUACGACCUACGGGUGAAAGCAGGGGAUCUUCGGACCUUGCGCGAUUGAAUGAGCCGAUGUCGGAUUAGCUAGUUGGCGGGGUAAAGGCCCACCAAGGCGACGAUCCGUAGCUGGUCUGAGAGGAUGAUCCGCCACACUGGAACUGAGACACGGUCCGGACUCCUACGGGAGGCAGCAGUGGGGAAUAUUGGACAAUGGGCGCAAGCCUGAUCCAGCCAUACCGCGUGGGUGAAGAAGGCCUUCGGGUUGUAAAGCCCUUUUGUUGGGAAAGAAAAGCAGCAGGUUAAUACCCCGCUGUUCUGACGGUACCCAAAGAAUAAGCACCGGCUAACUUCGUG
rnacentral:rRNA from 1 species